rnacentral:rRNA from 1 species
GACGUAGGGCGCGAGCGUUGUCCGGAUUUAUUGGGCGUAAAGAGCUCGUAGGCGGCUUGUCGCGUCGACUGUGAAAUCCCGCGGCUCAACUGCGGGUCUGCAGUCGAUACGGGCAGGCUAGAGUUCGGUAGGGGAGACUGGAAUUCCUGGUGUAGCGGUGAAAUGUGCAGAUAUCAGGAGGAACACCGGUGGCGAAGGCGGGUCUCUGGGCCGAUACUGACGCUGGAGGAAGCGAAAGCGUGGGGAGCGAACAGG